rnacentral:rRNA from 1 species
GUGCCAGCCGCCGCGGUAAUACCAGCUCCACGAGUGGUCAGGACGGUUAUUGGGCCUAAAGCGUCCGUAGCCGGCCCAGUAAGUUUAUGGUGAAAUCCGGCAUCUCAAGUGUCGGAGUGCUGUAAAUACUGCUGGGCUAGGGAGCGGGAGAGGCCGGGGGUACCUCUGGGGUAGGGGCGAAAUCCUAUAAUCCCAGAGUGACGCCAGUGGCGAAAGCGCCCGGCUAGAACGCGUCCGACGGUGAGGGACGAAAGCUGGGGUAGCAAACCGGAUUAGAUACCCGGGUAGUCCCAGCUGUAAACUAUGCGGGCUAGUUGUCGGAGCGGCUUAGGGCCGUUUCGGUAACGCAGGGAAGCCAUUAAGCCCGCCGCCUGGGGAGUACGACCGCAAGGUUGAAACUUAAAGGAAUGGCGGGGGAGCACCACAAGGGGUGAAGCUUGCGGCUCAAUUGGAGUCAGCGCCGGAAAACUCACCAGGGGAGACAGCAGUAUGAAGGCCAAGCUAACGACUUUGCCAGACGCGCUGAGAGGAGGCGCAUGGCCGUCGCCAGCUCGUAUCGUGAGACGUCCGGUCAAGUCCGGGAACGAGCGAGACCUCCAUCUUUAGUUGCAACCCUUUAAGGGGCACACUAGAGAGACCGCCACCGAUUAAGGUGGAGGAAGGGGGAGGCAACGGCAGGUCAGCAUGCCCCGAAACCUCUGGGCUGCACGCGAGCUGCAAUGGCAGGUACAAUGGGAUUUGACCUCGUAAGGGGGAAGUAAUCCUCAAAGCCUGCCUCAGUUGGGAUCGAGGGCUGAAACCCGCCCUCGUGAACCUGGAAUCCCUAGUAAUCGCGUGUCAACACCGCGCGGUGAAUAAGUCCCUGCUCCUUGCACACACCGCCCGUC